ACCAUAAACGGAACGGAUGAGUGUGGAUUAAUACAGAUGGAUAGAUUCUAUACUGAGUGGAUAUGGAUGAGUACAGAUGGAUAUAUUCUAUACUGAGUGGAUAUGGAUGAGUACAGAUGGAUAUGGAUGAGUACAGAUGGAUAGAUUCGGUACUGUAUAAGUCAACUCUAUAAAGCCCCACAUCACAACCGAGACUAUAGACUGGAUGGCUUACCUGAGGCUGUGGACGACGUGUUGAGUUGAUACAGGAAUGAAUGAAUUACUACUGUGGAUGAAACUACUCUAUAAAGGCCCAUAUUUGACAGAGAUGUACAGUCUAUACUGGGUGGAUAUGGAUCACAGUGCAGUAGCAGUACCUCCUCUGGUAGAGUGAAUGACGUGUUGUAACAACACAAAUUGUGGAUGAAACUGUACUCUGUCUAGUCUGGAUAGAAGGGUUGUAGUACAGCAACUCUCUGUCUGUGGAUGAAGGGUUGUAGUAUAGCACCUCCUCGUCUAGUCUGGAUAGAGGGUUGUAGUACAGCACCUCCUCUGUCUAGUCUGGAUAGAAGGGUUGCAGUACAGCACCUCCUCUGUCUAGUCUGGAUAGAAGGGUUGCAGUACAGCACCUCCUCUGGUGUGUGAAUGUAACGUGUGUGAAUUAAAUAGAAGAAGAAAAUGCUCCCUCUGUCCUUCCUGUGAGAAUACAAACAUCUGGACUGGGAUCUGUAGGCUGGGAUCUGGGAUUGGGAUCGUGGACGGGAUCUGUGAACUGGAUCGUAUGACGGGAUCUGUGACUGGGAUCUGGGACUGGGAU
rnacentral:lncRNA from 1 species